GGGUAGUGAUAGUUUUAUCCUUCAGGGAUUCCCUCCCCCCCCCCCUUUCUGUAUUUAGGAGGGAAAAGGCGGGGGGGGGCAGUAAAAUGCUGUCUCUGGGACAGGUGCCAGCUCCAAGACAAAAGAAGUAGAAUAGCAACAAAAAAAAAGGGGGGGGGAUUGGAAAUUAAUAGCCAGCAAAAAUAGGAAUUGAAAAUCUCUAAGAGGCUUUGGUAAAAUGUUAUCAGCUAACCAACCUUUCUGUUUCAUUUUAUCUUUAGCUGGUAGCUGAAAGGAGAAAGUUUAGGGAUACUUUUUUUUAUUAUUAUUAUUCUUUGCAAGCAUUUCAAAAGGGUAAGGGGGGGGUCUCUUUUUUUUCCUUGCAGGGUUUGUUUUUUUUGGUGGGGGGGGGGAUGCUGAAAUACUCAUAGUGGCAGUGGUGAAGCUAGGACCAUUAGCAUGCAUCAGACAUGCUGUUUGUCUGUUUGCUAACAUUCUUCAUUCAAGACUAGUUAACUACCAGACAAGCUUAACACGCUUCUGUCUUUCCCCUCCCCUUCUUUCUCUCUUUUCCUCUGUCUGUCCUCCUCUCUUUCCUUCUCUUUCAUGCCACCCCUCGUAGCCUCCUAUUGUUGUUACCGGGAGCUGGCAGGCCAGGGUGGUUGUGGCAGGGGAAGCAUGUGGAGGAGAAGCUGGAGCCCGUUGCUAGGAGGCUGCAGCGCUGCAAGGUGAACACCUUGGCGUCCUCACUCUGUGACUGGUCCCAGAGGCUUGUUUCCCAGGAAUAUAAGUCUAAACUUCAGGACACAAUCUUCCUAAAAAGAGCGUGAAAUUUACGGCAGCAGGAUUAUGCCACUCGAAGCCAAAUUCUAAACCCUCCUCUUUUGAUUCUACCUCCAACUCACAAGAUCAAACCUAAGCUAAAGGAAAGUUUUUCAUUGGCAUCAUCUGCCGAGGUUUCAGAGAGAAACUCUUCUGAGGUGUUAAGGGCAAGACCUCAGAGUUAGCUGCAGACUCUUUAAUGCUCAAUUUAUUGGAAAGUAUCCUCAUGUGAGCUCCUUUGAGGUCUUCGGCAGUAUAGCAGGCUUGUACUGCCCCUCUGCACAGAGUACUGCCUGAGAUUGCAUGCAGAAAAAGAUGUACCAGUUGCCUGGCAAGAUGAACUCAAGAAACACAAAGAAAAGUCUUCUGAGAGAAUACAAAGAAGUUUUCAGCAAGUGUGACAUACUGGAAAUCUCUGUUCAUCCAUCUAUGGGAGACUUGCUAAAGAAGUCAAAAAAGAAAAGAUGAUCUGAUGACCUGUGCAGAGAAAAUGCUAAGGGGGAAGUGGAGAAGAUAAAAAAGUUUGGUGGAUUUGCUAUGGCUGACAUCACAUUCCAGACCUAAGAGUUGUCCAGUUAAGUUGACACAAAGUUUGGUGCUACUCGUUGCUGCUCAGUGGACAUGUCUACACGUGUAUUUACGCAUGCCUAAACUUAAUGUGCCUUUGCUUAAGGCACAUUAAGGCAAUUUAGGUGCACAUGUACAUAAGGAUGCACUAAUGUGCAUUAAGGCACAUUAAAUUUAGGCACGGAUAACUAAGUUGCCUUAGCGUACAUGCAGAUGCACUAAUGCGUACUAACGUGGUGUGUGUCCAUUGACAUAUACCACGUUAAUGUGCAUUAGUGCAUCUGCUAAUGCAGCUUAGCUAGUCACACCUAAAUUGGAUACCUGCUUUAUGCAGGUAUCUAAUUUAGGCUCACAUAGCCUUAAAUUGCCAUUUUUAAGGCACAUUAAGGGUGCACACAUGUAGACACACAUCCUUAAUGUGCCUUAAAAAUGGCGAUUUUAGGCUAAGCCAGCUUAAAAGAGGCAUGUGUAGAUAUGCCUAGCUUUCCAUUGUUUUUAAGAUGGUCCAGAGCAGAAAAGGUAAGGCAGGAUGGGAUACUGUUAUUGAAGAGAAAAAGAGUUUUGUUUAAUGACUAGGGUCUCCUGAAUUCUCUUCCCAGGCCUGAAACUUCCUUGCUAUGUAGCCAUGAGCACUUAGAGGAUAUCUUUGAAAUGUACAUGUUUCUUUGGUUGCCUCAAUGUUCAGGUGCGGUGCCAGGCUUGUUGCUAAAAGCUUGAUUUUCAAAGAUGCUGAGCACCUACAUCUCCUAAUGACUAUAUCUGGACUUGUGAGUACUCUGCUCCCCUGAAAAUCAGGUCUUAAGCCUUUUUGCUUGGGCACCCAAAAUUACUAGACAUUUUUGGAAAAUAAUGUUUUAAGUUUUCUGUCCCUCUGUUGCCUCAACUACAGAAGGGGCAGAGGGGGGAAGGCUCAUGAGUCUUAUUCAUCUUCAUUCACUGGGGCACUGAGAUAAAUUAGCAAUGUUUGGGAAGCAGUUGUUAGAAGAAAGAUGUAGAAAGAUCAGACAUCUCCCUAUUAUUCAUUAUAAUAAUGAGAAGGUAACAACUUCUGACAAAAGAAAACACAGUUGAUUCAUUUUCUUCACCUUUUUAGCAGCAAGGAGCGAAAUGCAUUCCUAAUUGGCACAGUUCAACCAACCUUAAUUUCCUCCUACUGUUACACUUGCCUCCCAGAGCAUCCAGUCUUCUCUCCUUUGCUUGCCACAUAUGAAGUAUGCCUUUAGAAUAUUAUGUUUUAAAUAAAAAUCUUCUUGUUUCUUUUUCAUACGUUUGUUAUUUCCCCACAGAUUUUUCCUCUCUUUCGAAUUUUGGCCCUGUCCCGAUUUCUGAGCGCUGCCAUCUGGUAGUCAUUAUUUUCUACCACUGUGUUCUCAGACAUGCAGCAGAGUGUGAGCUCACUGUGCUCCUGCUGCUGCUAUCAGCCGUGCAUGUCACGCUUGGCAGCCAUGUUAGAUUUGGGCAGAAAGCCCAUCAGGACUAAUACAACAAAUCAACUGAUUAGCAAGUAGACCUAAAGAUUAUGCUAGAAAAAACAUUGAAGAUAAAUAUUUAAAUCUUGCAAAGCAAAUAGCUCAUAAUAAAAAUAAACAGUUCAACUUUUAUUUAUAAAAUAUAUAUUUUUUAAAUCUUAUAUUGCUAUUUACUGAAUAAUAGAACCGUUACACACAUAGGAACCAUAAUUCAAUCCUUAUUAUUUUGUGGCUCUGGACAGUUCUAUGAGAAUUUUACUUAUUAAAUUAAAUAGUGUUAGCUGUUGUUGGUUUAUGGCACCUGGAAUAUUAGGUAAGUGUAACAUAAAUUGAAAAAAAUACAAUAAGACAUAACAUUAAAAUUAGUGGAACUACUUCAGUUUAUACCAACUAAGGAUCUGCCAGAAUAUGAGAGGAAAAUAGUGUUAUUUUAAAAUAUGAUUGUAUUUGACUCAGUUUUUUAAGCACUUAUCUAAUAAUAGCCAUUGUACAGCAACCUAAUGAAUGGCAUUUAAUUAAAAAGCACUUGCACAUUUAAAAAAGGGGUAGAAUUGCUUGUUGAGGGCACAGAAACUGUGUUAAUGUAGACCACCUUAAGAUGUGGCCCAUUGCCUUUGAAAUGUUGAACUACCCUAAAAUGUUUUUUAGGUUUUUUUAAAGAAACUUGUUAACAAAGUCCCAUUUUUAGGUAGCAUUGGGCACAUCUACACAAGACAUUUACUGUGGAGUUAACUAAUUAGCUCUUCAGUAAACUUCUUGGCAUCUACAUGUGCAGGGCAAUUAGGAUGGAGUACACUAAUUAAAUACAAAUAAAUAUAAGUACUAUCCUGCUGCAGAGUUUUUUACUCUUCAGCAGCACAUGUGUAGAUGCUGACAGGGCUGGCUGGAGCGCAAGUGUACUUCAGUGUGAGGGCUGCCUGCCAGCUAGCCCCUCACUGAAAAGCCUUCGUACCCUAGUCAGCCCCUCCGCAGUACAUUGAGCUAUGGGGGGAGCAGCCCUGGGGUGGCAGGUUGACCCCCUGGACCUCCUGCCCAGUGGGGCUGCUCUGACCCAGUUCAAUAUGCUGGGUGCAUGUUCAAAUGGCAUGCCCAGGCCUGGGUGCACAUUCAAAUGGCACGCGUCACAUUAAUUGCACAUGUAGACAUAUCCAUUAUGGUUCAUUUCUGAGAGAAUUACAGAUUGGGGCCUGCUCCUACCAAGAUGUGCACUGACUUCCUGCAUGACUCCUUGUGGGACUUAGGAACCUAUGGUGUAUGCUAGUGUAACAUGUAGUCUUUCAAGAUCAAGAAUGUCUCUGCUCUAAUAUAUGUUUAUAUGAUUACAGCUUUCAUAGUUACUUAGGCAGCCACAGCACUGAGUUUAACUUGUGUAUGUAUUUUCCAGGCCAUUUUCUAACUGCUGUCCUUUUCCAAGUAUUUUCCACUGAUUUGGUAACUGGAAUGGUUUCAGCAUCUUAAAGUGUGUAUACAUAAAAUCCAUUAAACAGCACUGUGCUGCAGCACACAUAGUAUCCAAUAUCACUGUAAAAGUAAAUAAACCCGGUAUAGUUGAUAUGGGAGAAACAUGUAAUGACUCACUCACCUUUCAGAAAGGGUAUACAUGUACACAUGCUGUUUGAGCCAAAUUCACCUCUGGCAUCAUUCCAGUUCUGUUCGAACCAGGGUAAUUUUGGCUCUCCAAACUUAUUUUUUUUUAAAUCCUAAAAUAAUCAACUAAUUAUUAAUGGACUUCCUACCCCAUAUGGGCAGGUGGGCCACCGCAAAACACUGUUCUGCUAAAGGUGUUGAUUUAUGACAUAAUCCAAAAUUCACUGUUGCCAAUGAAUUUCCUUUCAUUAAUUUGAGUGUCUUUGGAUCAUGUCCUUUAAACCCCUAAAUGCAGCAUAGCACUUUAAAAUUCAAAACUAAAGUUUUUUUUUAUUUUAUUGAGUCCUGAGCCCCAUAUCUGAAGCCACUGAUGUAAAUUGAAAAUGUCCUGUUGACUUCAGUGGUCUUUGAAUCUAAGUGCUGGGAUAUUUUUCUUCUUCAAGAAAAAUUCCACUGACUUCUGAGGGAAUUAUUCUGAGAAAGAACAGUAAAUAGGACUCUUAGCUGGCAGAUUUGUGUCAUUGUGAUUUCUAGCUCCAAAUAAUUUCAUGUAUACUUUCAGGUGAGAUACAAACUAACACCCAAACCAGAUGUAGUCAUGGAAAAUCCUAUAGCAUUUCCAAAAGAGGAUGGAUGUUAAACUUGGUGUCCUGGUCAUACACUUACUACGGUAAAGAAAUUGUGCCUACUUUAGUCCUCCCUGCAGUUUCAAAUGACUAAUAUUUUUCCAGUGCCAGCCUUAAAUUGUUAUGUGGUGCUUGAUAUAUUGUGCAACAACUGCAAUUUGCCACUCCAGAAGUAACUGUAUUGCAGCAGUGAAUGAGUAAUUGCUAUGCAUCCUUCAUCUGCUUCACAGGUGUGUCGCAAAGCGUAAAUUACUUUUUGCUCCUCAAAGGAUAGGAAUGAUACAAAUGCAAUGUGUUAUUUUUAUUAGACUCAUUUGAAAAAUAUUUUGAGGAAAAUGAGGAAAUUUGGUGUGGGUGACAUUUGCCAGAGAUCUGGCCUGGGAAACUGAAUCCCUCUCUCCAUUGAACCAAUUCACACAUGGAAGUUUUGGAAAAGACCUCGUUGUGCUGUUUGGCUCUACCCCUGCCUUGAAAGCAGUCAUGUAGGGUAAAGUGGUAGGUUAGUCUCUCAUGCUGACCUGAUCCAGUUCUGUUUCUCCUAUUGACUGCAACCAGCUUUCAAUCUGAUCCUCGGUCCUUUUAUCUCUCAACUAUAAUUCUCAUCAAAGGGUACUAGUUGGUGCCAUCCAUGGGUGAAUCUAGGAUUCUGCAAAAGGGGUGCAGCUCGUCUGGCAUAUCAUCACAUGUAACACAAGGCAUAUUAUUCUCCAGUUAAAUAGGAACUAGAAGCUUUACUAGUACGUUAAGCAGCUAGCACUGCAUUUGUCAGUCUAAGAUCAAAGCAAAAACAAAUAUAACUAUUUGAAUGUGCACUCAUUUGCUAAAGUAUGCAUAGUUUUUAAAAAACAACAGCAAACUUGGCAAAAAAUAUUUGAAAUAGUCAAAAGAUAUUGUGUCAUUAGUCCUGUGCUUAUUAUACUUAAAUGUCUCUUAUUCCAAUUCAUAAAACAAAAUCUCGCCUUCUUGAGAGUCUUGACAGUGCCUCUAAUACUUCACUGUCAGUCAUUUCUAAACCCAAGCUAAUAUUCAUAUAAAAAGAUUAAGGUUGGAAGGGACCUCAGGAUGUCUAGUCCAACCUCCUGCUCAAAGCAGGACCAUCCCCAGCUAUCUCAUCCCAGCCAAGGCUUUAUCUAGCUGGUGCCAUCUUGCCAUCUGUAGGCAUUUUUACACAUGCUCAAGGUGGGAGGAGCACUUUAAUUAGAGCAGCUCUGAGAGCCACUCUAAUUAAAGCUCCUGCAGCAUCUCAUGUAUCAGUGUUUCUGUGCUUCAGAAUGGAGGCACGGGCAUUUUAACUAAAGCUUAUUGAAUGAUCUCACUGUCAUUUUUAAGCAUGGGGACAGUGAUACAUGAGAUGUGGAGGCUGGCUGGAGCGUGUUAAUUAACGUACUCCAACAUACUGUAAUUACACUGCAUCAGAGCAGCUGCCCCGCAUGUCUACAGGCAGCCUAAGAUAGUAAAUAUAUAUUUCUUAGAAAAUGGAGUAUGACGGCCAAGCCAUUUCACAGAGUCUGCUAAAGUCAUUAUUGCCAGGAUCAAUAUUCAAAGCAGUAAGCUAGAUAUCUCUUUAUAUGUUUAUGUGCCUCUUCAGCCUUCUGUUUACAAUAUUUAUAUAUUCUAAACUUCCUAAAAGAGGUACCUGUGGUAUUUACCACCCUCAUAGGGAGCCUUUUUAAAGCCAUACAUUUGUAAAUGAUUUUGAGCCCUUCAGAUAUUUGGCAUUCUAGAACUGAUAUUGCCAUUACUAUUUUAUCCCAGGGUCUGUUAAUUAUUAAGGGUAUGAAGUAUGUAAUAAACCUGCUUUAACACUGUCACCUUUCCUAUUACAUCACAAAAAUAACUAAGUUGGCUCAGUGCCUUUUGAAAAGUGACUGUUGAGGUAUUCAUUAACAUCAGUUCCAAUCCUCUGCAGAGUAAAGACAUUUUUCACUGAUCAGCAAAACAGUUGGAACAUGGAAAUGUCAUAUUUUUCCUAGUAUUAAACAGUUGUUAAACUGGAAAUGUAACUCUUGCCAAGUAGUUAUUUAAUAUCCAUGUUUUCUUGAAACAUAGAAAAUGAACAUGCAUUUUUGCUGCAUUAGGUAUUUGAGAGAUAGUCCUUUUUUGGCAGUUUAAACAAUUAAACUAAAAUUUACAAACAUCUUGUAACAUCAGAAAAAAAUAAUGAAUUUCAAAUGCUGAAUAUAAGAUUUAAUAAAAGGCACAUUUUAAAGUGAUAUUGUUUUGGCAAUGAAUACUUGAAACUGUUAAUAACCAUAAUGUAAUAAUACUUGGAUCUCAUAGCAAAUAGUAGUUUACAUUUUAAAACACUUCACAGAUAAUCAUCACAACAUGCUUGCAAGGUAGUUAAGAAAUGUAUUUUUCCAUGUUACAGGUAGGGAGAUUAAUUCACAAAGGAAUUUCACUAGUGGGCGUGUCUACACAUUCAAUUAAUGCAACUGAAUAAACUCUGGUGCAAUUUGAGCCAGAGUAAAGUGAUCCAGAUGUCAUCGUCUACAUGUGUUUAAGUGCAGUAAUUUACUCCACUGUCAGAUAGUACUUGUGUCUGAUGGGACUAUCUGAUGGUGCAGUAAAUUAGUCUACACCAGCCUAAUUGCCACACACAUGUAGAAGGUGAUGCUUUACUGCAUGGCAAAUUACUCUACUGUGCAGUAAAGCACAUGUAGGCAUGCCCAAUCAUAAAUUUGCAUCAGAAUAUGUAGUAUUAGGUCAUCAGUGUACCUAAACACUUCAUAUAGGAGCCAGUCUGUGGCAUUAUGGUCAUAAGUUGUAAUAACUGGACCUUACAUACAUGGCUAGGGUCGGUCAAAAAAUUAGCAGUUUUGAAACUUUUAUGCAAAAGUGAACAAUGUGAUAAGGUUUCCUCAUUUCAAAGCACUUCUGUAUACGAAGUUAGUAAUGGAGAAAUAAUGCACAUACACAGUCUUAAUUUAGAGGCAGGGCCUACAAAAUAUUCUGGAUCCAAACUCCCCCCAGACUUACCCAAGUUCACAUCUGAGUUUUCAGUUGAAACUGCUAUAAUCAACAGAAGCAACCUCAAAGGUUGGAAGUACCCAUGAUAUUUGUAGAGCUUGGAGGUGUUUGACUCUGGAGUUUAAACCUGGUCCUUCACCACUGUGAAAUGAUUAUAUCCUUUUGAAUGCCAGGUUGUCUGGUCCACUGCACUGCUUUCCUUAGAUCUUGAGAGACCUGAAAAGGCUUCCACCUUGAAAAGGUUAUAUUGCCUGUAUUCUUCACCAUAUAAGACAAAUACCAAACAAUACUCUUUCUCUAAAGGAAAUCAUACAGUGUGUAGCUUUCCCCCAAUUGCGUUAUGUAAUAGCAUUUUAUUUUUAGGUAAAGGUACAGUUUGUGUUUAAAAUUGAAAGCAUUUCACAUAGUGAGUACGCAUGUGUGUGUGUACAUUUACCCACACCCACACAGGCAUCACUGAAGUGCAGUCACUGGUGAGUGAAAGGAUAAUAGUCGACUAGAUAACCACUGUACAGCUGUGGGAGGUAGUAUUGUGACCAGUACAAAUCCUGUGCUCUUAGGAAAAGCACUAAGGGAACACUGAUGACCACACAAACAAAACAAGGUCUGUGUCCUCAGCUGAUAGACACAUGCACAGUAAGCCUCAGGGAGGACAAUUUUUCUUUGAAAGACUGAAGUGAUUAAUUGGCCUUGCCAAAAUUUACACCUGCCAUUUUAGGGAAUUUAGGUAUUUAAAACCCAAAGGCAUAGCGACUGCUAAGUGGUAAUGCUUUCUAUCUCAGUGUUUUCCAAACGCUUUUAUUUGCUGUUGAUUUUCAUGCAUCUUCUGCCACCAGCUUACACAAUUUAUGCUAAUAAGACAUUGACAUAUUUAUGCUGCUUUCAUUUAUGACGUACCUGGCAUACUUUAAUAUCCUAAAGACUAGUAAAAGGAAAUUCAGUAACAUUACAACAUUAGCUCUUUAUAUAUUUGGGUAUUUGCUACAAAUAUGUGACAUCUGUCAUCAUCCUAUUUUCCCUUGUUUGCUUAUUUUAGAAUUAUGGAGAAUCACACCAUUAAAAGCUUUGUGUAAUAAAUAUGCACAGUAUGCAACACAGUAACCUCUUUGUAAUAUCUGGUUGCAGUCCCCUACAGUGAAGUUUCUUGAAGCUGAUAAAAUAACAGUGGAUUUUAUAGAUUAAGACAUUAUUUUGUAAUUUGGUUAUAAAUCUGCAUUCUGUCUCCUUUCCGGUGUUCUUUAAAAAGUACGUUAGUUCAUUGAAGGGUGAAGAAGUUGAUGCCUGUGCCAUCCCUGCAGUACUGUGUUACAGAUCGCCUAUUAAUUAUUCAAGUGGAUCUAGAAAAAAAUAUACCUUUUUGGCAUUGUACUCUGCCUCUGUCUUUCUCUUUUAAAGUGGGGCUGCCACAGAGGCUGAGGUAUCAUGGCCAUGAUACUGGGUCAGAGCACAAUUGCUGUGCGUGAUUCUCCGUGAGGUGUGCAUUUAUUGUUAGAGAACUCUCUUGCUGUGUGCUCUUUCUUGUCUCUACCUGCAGUGGAAUAAAAUUGAUAUGUAGUUUCUCCUGUUCCGUUGUUUUUUUUGGGUCUCAAUUUUGAUUCUGUUGGAAGUUGAAGACCCUUUUGGUUACCCACAGCAAAACCUAAUCCAGACUAUUACCUAUAGGGUGAGACCAGGCAUUAUACUGAAAUGCAACUUUGGAUUUCUCUGUGUGUAAUUGUUUAUGUGAUUGUCCAUUGCUUUCUUUAGUUUAUUUUCUAAUAAAGAUGACCAUGAAAGAUACUAAAGAUGAUUAAAUUAGAAUAGUUUUUAAAAGUUUGCUGUUUUAUUGAGGCACUGAGUAUACUAGAAUUCUGACUGAUAUCACGGUUAUUUCUAGCACUCUAAGCUUUACUGAAUGAGGGGUGUUGUGUUUUGUCAGGCCAGGUGGUGGAGGGAGCUAACAGCUACCUCAAAUUCUACCAUAGGUGUGAGAUUGGGAAUAAAUUAUACUACAGUGGCAGUUAUCCUAGUCCUGUUAACCAAAGUGUAUGUAGUACAGUGGGGCAUGUUUAGUUUGGCCAUUGAUUCAGAGCUGUGUUACUAUCCUUUGGGGGACAGCAUAUUUAUUUUAGCGAGCCAUAUAAUUUCCCUGCAGCUUUGACAAAUUCUUGAUUCACAUUUAUCCAUGCAGCACUUGUGAAAGUAAAUUACAGAAACUCAGCUGUUGCCUGGGGAAAGAUUAUCAAGGUGCAGUUUGAAACAAACUUGCCAAGCCCACAUCAGCUUUCCAAGUUUUAAUGAUGCCUUUUUGAUAGCGGCAGAAUCCGUUGGCUAGCAGGCAUGUCAGAGCUGGAAAUGCUAGUAUUCACUAAAAAUGAAUGUUAUAUUCUCCUUCCCCUUCUGCAUUUUGUCACAGACGUGUCUUCAAAGGUUGUAGCAUGAUUAAGAGUGUUUUAAACCUCACACUGGAAUUAGUUAAGCAAAGUGUUGCCUGUUAUAUAGCAAAUACUAUUUCAAAUUUAAAAUUGCUAAUAUUCUUCUAUAGACCCUUUUUGUCUUCUAGGUUAUCAGCUUGCAAUCCAGCUAUCUGAGAAUACUGUUGACCAUCAUCUGAUCAGAGUCUGACUGUCCUUUGGGGUGAGGUAGUAGGUUGUAUAGUUUUAGGGUUAUACCCUGCCUGUCAGAUAACUAUACAAUCUACUGUCUUUCCUGAAGUGGCUGUGAUAUCAACGCUGGAUAUGGUUUUAAAAGAUGUAACAGAAGUCUUCUAAUUUGGAUGGUCUUUGGCUAUAUCCACUCAUUAGAUAUAGCCACUUGCAACUGAGCUCUAAUGGAAUAACAAACCCUGUGUUGUUCAUUUAGCUUUCAUAGAAUGCUACAAUUUUUGUCAUCCAGAUAAAGAAACAGUUGAAUUUCCACCAUCUGCAGUGAAUCAUGGUGACCAAUGUGUACUACAUGCUCUCCGGUGAGGAUGACGUUAGCUCUCACUGUGCUUCCCUCCUCCCCUUGCAUGUGUGUCAGGGAAAGAACCAAAAGAAUAAGACAAAUUACCCAGUUCUCCACAACCCUGCGCCUUGUGCAGUCAGGUAAUAUUCAACAGAAGUGGAUAUCAAAUGCUACUUUUGCACAGCUGUAAAUCGCUGUUUAAAGUACAGGGAAAUGGUGAACUGUACAGAAGGCCAAGAGCCGGCCAUUUGGAAGUUAGUUUCCAUGCCAAGAGAAAUGACACUAGGCUGAAGAGGUUUGUUGUUGGGUUUCUGAUUGCUGAUUUAUCUCAUUUUUUUGCAUUACGUAUACAUGAACAGGCCAUCCUGACUGCUACUCCUCUUUCUACUGGAUUAUUCCACCCACUUACACUGUGACUCCCUGGACAGCUCUGAGGCAGGGCUGAAAUCACAAAGUUCACAAAGAUGCUGUUCUUUCUUUAGUUAGCAAAGAACAAAUCGGCUCUGAAAGCACAGGGGAAUUCUACUGGUGAAUUGUGGAAGCAAAGGCCACUGAAUUGCUAACCUUCGAAGGAAUUUCCUGGUGCUCUGGCAGGAUGAGGUAGUAGGUUGUGUGGUUUCAGGGUAGUGAUUUUGCCCCAAUCAGGAGAUAACUAUACAACCUACUGCCUUCCCUGAUGAGCAGUAUUGCAGCAUCUCAGAAACUCUUAAUCCUUUCUAUUGUAAGUGAAACCAGGAUUUAAAUCUACCUCCAUGACCAGAAAAGUGAGCCUGUGUAAAACUGGAGUGAUCUUGUCAAAAGCAGCUUUUGAUCUUAACUAUAGGAGAAGGAAGCACUUGCAGAUUAACUGUGUUUGUUUCUAAGUGUAUGUUUUAAAUUCCUUUUAUCAAAAGAAAUAAAAUAAAGACAAGUUUUGUUUGUUUCCAGA